rnacentral:piRNA from 1 species
AGAGGGUCAUUGCGGUAGAGCUA